rnacentral:rRNA from 1 species
UACGUAGGGAGCAAGCGUUGUCCGGAAUCAUUGGGCGUAAAGCGCGCGUAGGUGGCUUCGUAAGUCCGUUGUGAAAGUCAAAGGCUCAACCUUUGAAAGCCGAUGGAUACUGCGGGGCUAGAGUACGGGAAGAGGCGAGUGGAAUUCCUGGUGUAGCGGUGGAAUGCGCAGAUAUCAGGAGGAACACCAUAGCGAAGGCAGCUCGCUGGGACGUUACUGACACUGAGGCGCGAAAGCGUGGGGAGCGAACAGG